AAAGCAAGUAAAAAAUGCACAUAAUGAUAACAGAUUUAUCUUUAGAAUUGUCUGCAAAACCUUUAGUUUGGAUACCAAGUGAAAAUGAUGCUGGAAAGACUGUUUACCGUUUGACUCCUGUCCCAAUUUAACCUAGUGGGGAUUCCUUUUUGAAUUAGUUUAAGUCGUAGCCAACUCGUAUGAAAGAUGUUCUCGACAUGAAAUAGUUAAUUUUAUUCAACAACGCCAAAAAAGCUCGCUUAAGAAACAGAGGAGAAAGAGAAAGAUGAAAGAAUAUUCUUUUGAACAAUGGUGCUGUUUUAUUUAUAAAUUAUUUUCCUAUGUUUAAACAUAUAAAAGAUAUAGAAAAUGCUUCC